AGAAUCAACGCUGGCGGCGUGCCUAACACAUGCAAGUCGAACGCGAAAGUGGAGCAAUCCAUGAGUAGAGUGGCGAACGGGUGAGUAACGCGUGGGUGACCUACCUCAGAGUGGGGGAUAACGUUUCGAAAGGAACGCUAAUACCGCAUAACAUCCUGCCUUUGGACAGGUGGUGAUCAAAAGCCGGGGACCGCAAGGCCUGGCGCUUGGAGAGGGGCCCGCGUCCGAUUAGCUAGUUGGUAGGGUAAUGGCCUACCAAGGCGACGAUCGGUA
rnacentral:rRNA from 1 species